GCCGAACCGUGCGAACGUUGUUCGGAAUCACUGGGCUUAAAGGGCGCGUAGGCGGGUGACCAAGUCCGGGGUGAAAUCCAUCGGCUCAACCGGAGAACUUCCUUGGAAACUGGUCAUCUCGAGGGAGGUAGGGGUCUGUGGAACUGAUGGUGGAGCGGUGAAAUGCGUUGAUAUCAUCAGGAACGCCGGUGGCGAAAGCGGCGGACUGGACCUUCACUGACGCUGAGGCGCGAAAGCUAGGGGAGCAAACGGG
rnacentral:rRNA from 1 species